rnacentral:rRNA from 1 species
GACGAACGCUGGCGGCGUGCUUAACACAUGCAAGUCGAACGGAAAGGCCCUGCUUUUGUGGGGUGCUCGAGUGGCGAACGGGUGAGUAACACGUGAGUAACCUGCCCUUGACUUUGGGAUAACUUCAGGAAACUGGGGCUAAUACCGGAUAGGAGCUCCUGCUGCAUGGUGGGGGUUGGAAAGUUUCGGCGGUUGGGGAUGGACUCGCGGCUUAUCAGCUUGUUGGUGGGGUAGUGGCUUACCAAGGCUUUGCCGGGUAGCCGGCCUGAGAGGGUGACCGGCGACAAUGGGACUGAGAUACGGAACAGACUCCUACGGGAGGCAGCAGUGGGGAAUAUUGCACAAUGGGCGGAAGCCUGAUGCAGAAACGCCGCGUGCGGGAUGACGGCCUUCGGGUUGUAAACAGAUUUCGACUGUGACGAAGCGUGAGUGACGGAAAUGGGUAAAGAAGCACCGGCUAACUACGUG